CCUUCGAUAGCUCAGCUGGAAGAGCGUGAGACUGUAAUAGGAUAAUACACACCCUUGCGCGGAACAUCUCAAGGCCGCUGGUUCGAUCCCGGCUCGAAGGA